CAGCUUGAGAUUGAAAUGGCUAAACUUAAGUUAGCAAAGGAAGAAUUCGAGAUGGAAACCGCUUUGGCAGAAAGCAGUGCAAAAUUAAAAGUGUUUAAAGAGUACGAGAGUACAGAAGAUGGUUUGAUUAGACAUGUAAUAAAACAAAAAUCACAAAGCAUGAACACAAAAGACACAAAUACAGCUGCGCGCUCUCCAGCAGACAGAGCAAGCCUUCAUGCACCAUCAGGAGUGUUUCAAACUGUGGCUCCUCAAGACACAAUGAAUAAUGCACAAAUAAAAAGAGAUGAUGACAUACUAAAGGUUAUGGAAAAUCAAAAUGCAAUUACUGAGCUACUGGUAAAACAACAGAAGCAGUCUCAGCUGCCAAUGAAGGAUAUUCCUGUUUUCAAAGGUGACGCGCUACAAUAUAAGUCAUUCAUCAGAGCAUUUCAACAUUCAAUAGAACAAAAGACAGACAAUGAUCAAGAUAAACUCUAUUUUUUGGAGCAAUUUACAGCCGGUGAACCUCAAGAGCUAGUUCGAAGCUGUGUUCACAUGUCAUCUGAUAAAGGAUACCGUGAAGCUAAAAGAUUACUUCACAGACAUUAUGGGGACAAAUUACACAUCGCCAGCGCUUACAUUGAUAGAGCAUUAAAGUGGCCACAAAUUAAGGCAGAUGAUGGAAAGGCAUUGAGCAACUACGCAAUGUUUUUGGUUGGAUGUCACAACACUAUGGAGGACAUAGAAUAUUUGGAGGAGACAAUCCUACCAAUUUACGGACAGUGGUGUCCAAACUUCCCUACAAAAUGAAAGAACGUUGGCGUGCUGAAGCUUACAAUAUUAAAGAACGAAAAAAUGAAAGAGCAAAGUUUGCUGAUUUGGUUAAAUAUAUAGACCGCCAAGCAAAAAUAGCAUUAGAUCCCCUCUUUGGUGAUAUACCGGACAGUCGAACAUCUCCAGCUGGAAAAUCUGAGCAAAAAGAAAAACAUUAUGCUAAAAGAGACGUCCGCGGAAGCAGUUUUGCAACUAAUGUCUCAGCUGAAAGUAAGCAGUUUCCAAGUACACGUGUAAAGACAUCAGACUCAAACAAAGUAGAAAGUGCAUUUGAUAAACCAUGUCUGUACUGCCAGCAAUUUCACACUUUGGCUUCAUGCAACAAAAUAAAAGGUCAACCACACAAAGAUCGCUUGGAGUUUUUGAAGUCAAAGGGCCUGUGUUUUGGAUGCUUAAUUCCUGGUCAUCUCAGUAAGUUCUGCAAAAGAAAACUAGAGUGUAAGGACUGUGCAUUAAAACAUCCAGAUAUUCUACACAUUGCAAAAUCAGAAGGCACUGUUUCACCUGAAAGGAAUGGCGGAGUAAAUAGAAACUCAGCUGAGAAAAGCAACGGUGUUCGUGGAACUGAAGUAUCGUGUGCUCAGGUUUCUAUCCAAAAAGAGUCCUGUACCUUCACGGGGGGCGGGGAAUCUGAAUGUGUGCUGCCAAUAGUGCCGGUAAAAAUUAAAUCAAAGAAAAGCAACAAAUAUGUGGAAACAUAUGCUUUUAUAGAUCCAGGAAGCACAGCAACGUUCUGCACAGGUGAACUUCAAAGGAAGAUGAGCGUUAAAGGAAAGCCCACACAAAUACUGCUCAGCACCAUGGGUCAAAACUCACCUGGAGAACAAAAACUUAUGAACAGUUAUGUGUUAUCAGACCUGGAAGUGUGUGGACUGGAAGAAAACAGGUACAUCGACCUACCCAAAGUGUACACACACAGCAGUAUACCUGUUCACACCUCCAACAUACCUAAACAAUCAGAAAUUGAGAAGUGGUCUUAUCUUAAAGAAGUAAGUCUGCCUGAACUGGAUGCGGGUGUAGGCUUACUCAUUGGAUCAAACUGCCCGAAAGCCAUGGAACCGUGGCACAUAAUUAACAGCAGUGAUGGUGGACCUUACGCAGUGAAGAUGGCUAUUGGGUGGACUGUUAAUGGUCCCAUGAGAAAGGAACUUGAUGACAUAAAGAGCAGAGCACCUCAAUGUUCAGUGAAUAGGAUCUCUGUAAUGGAAAUUGAGAAGCUGUUGAUCCAACAAUAUAACACAGAGUUCAUCGAACAUAGCUACGACGACAAAGAAGAGUUGUCCCGAGAGGACAAACAAUUUAUGCAAUCUGUGCAUGAAACAACAACUCUAGAGAAUGGACAUUAUAUGAUUGGUUUACCAUUCAGAAACAAGAGGCUUCAAAUGCCUAACAAUCGCUGUGUGGCAGAACAGCGUAUUGACAGCUUGUUCAGAAAUUUCAAGAAGGAUCCUGUGUUUUUCGAAGAUUAUAAAUGCUUUAUGGACACUAUCCUCAGCAAAGGUUAUGCUGUACGAGUCCCAGCUCAUCAAUUGAACCGUGAAGACAAUAGAGUGCUCUACAUUCCACAUCAUGGGGUGUAUCACCCUAAGAAACGAAAAUUAAGAGUGGUGUUUGACUGCACGGCUUCAUUUAAAGGACAAUCUUUGAAUGGCGAAUUACUACAGGGGCCGGAUCUAACCAACACACUGGUCGGUGUCCUCUUGAGAUUUCGUCAGGAGCCAAUCGCUAUGAUGGCAGACAUCGAGUCGAUGUUCUACCAAGUGAAGAUACCAGAGGAGGAUGCUGAUUUCCUUCGUU
ensembl:lncRNA